AGAUUCUAGAGGAACACCCGCUCUCGUGCUCUGUGAGGGAGGCCAGCCGCUAAGCCUCGGAGUUAGGAGGAAACCCCGCACUUUGGUUGUGACGUCGUCUGUGUGGUUUCUUGCACCUACCUCUGUAGCAUCAGUUAUUGUGGCUGUGGGAGACGGGAUGAGAAGGGCCCUGGGUGUAAUUCUGGGUCGGUAGCUCCCUGUGCCUAGGAGAGCUAAGUGAAUGUGGGAUAGAGACAGAGCAGGCUCCGGCGCUCGGAAACGGAUCCCACCAGAAGUUCCUCCUUUUGCUUCCCCCUUUUCAAAGUGUUUUCUUUUUCUCUGCCAUUUCGUUUCCCUUUUUAAAACCUUCCCCCUAGCAUGGGACAGGCAGCAAGAGCCGCCACGGUGCCUACAGUCCAGGCUGGCCAGUCCGGUGCGGCACAGCACGGUGUGACCGGCAGUUUUAGUUUUAUUUUUUUACUUUUUUAAAAGGAGGCAAAUGCACUUUCCCUAUCUACAGGAAACAGGAGGGGAAAACAGACAGAAGAAUGUGGCAAGCCGCCAAGUCCGGUCUGUGAAGUCAGUGUAAGGAACUAAGAGUAAAUUUAGUCACCAACUCACCACAGAGCAAAGCGGGUCUGCCGUGGAUUUCAGCUUCCGAGACAAGCCUCUCGGGUUUGCUUCCCAGUUUAAAGCAACUUGGCUUUCUUAGAUGCACGUCCCGUGUGUGUAAGAAUCUGAGAAGUUGUACUUGGCCUAGGGAGGGGAGGAAGCCGCGUAUAAUGAGAAGAGAGGCGUAUAGCCGAGUGCUAUGGAGGGCAGCAGCCGGUACUGGGACUUGUAAAAGCCUUCAAGGACGCUUCAUGGACUUGCACUGAAAGGAGCUCUUGGGAUGCCGUUCUUUGGGUGGAAGUUUGGAAAGAAGAAAUUCCAAGAGGAAGAGAGGCACCUUGCGGCCAACAACCGGGACUUCAACGUGCCCUUCGAAUAUGCGAAUAAUUCGAUUAGAACCUCGAAAUACAAUUUCUUCACCUU